UACGUAGGGGGCAAGCGUUGUCCGGAUUUAUUGGGCGUAAAGCGCGCGUAGGCGGCGCGGUAUGUCGUGCGUGAAAUCUCCCGGCUUAACUGGGAGGGGCCGUGCGAAACUGCCGGGCUUGAGGUCGGAAGGGGAAAGUGGAAUUCCGGGUGUAGCGGUGAAAUGCGUAGAUAUCCGGAGGAACACCGGUGGCGAAGGCGGCUUCCUGGACCGACACUGACGCUGAGGCGCGAAAGCUAGGGGAGCAAACGGG
rnacentral:rRNA from 1 species